AUAGGGGUGUGAAUAGGCUGAGCCUAUUCACUCUGUCAAAUUUAAGUAUUUCACUUGUCACAUAUUUCCCUCUUAGCUUAAUCUCUCUUCUUUCUUACCAAUCAAACCUCAAGAAAGAGGAUUAGGGUUUCUGAAAGAGGAACCACUACAAAGAUUGCAGUUGGAUACUUGGAAGAUACUAACAUCCUUGUUUAACCUGGUCAAAAAAUUCAAGUUUUCUUUGAAAAAAAUGCCACCAAAUGUAGAUGAUACUGGGAUCAAUGGUUUGCCGGAAACUGUCCUAUGUCAUAUUCUCUCAUUUCUCUCAACCAAACAAGCUGUUGCUACUAGCGUCCUUUCAAAGAGGUGGAUACAUCUAUGGUGCUCAGUUCUUUCAAUUGAAUUCACCAACAUUGAGGUUGAUGACCUAGAAGCCUAUUUUCGCUUUAACAAGUCGUUGUACUCUGUAUUGCUCUCACGUACUUCAAUCAAAAGCUUUCGCCUCGGAAUUAGAUACGGUGGUUUUCAUUUUGGCUACAUUGGCAUUCCCCAUGUCGCCAAAUGGGUUGACCAUGUUGUACAAAAUGGAGUAGAACACCUUCAUCUUGAUGUGGCUACUAGGGUUGAUAUGCCCAAAUUGCCCGCUAGCAUUAUCACUUGCAAGACCCUCGUUGUUCUCAAUUUGAAUGGAUUCACUGUGAAUGACUUUUCUUCCAUUAGAUUACCGUCAUUAAAAAUCCUUCAUUUCGAGAGUUGUACAUUUCUGUCUGUUCGAGCUUUUCUGUUGGUUAUGGCUAGAUGUCCAAUUCUCGAGGAAUUACAAGCAGCUCAUAUAGUGUUCCAAUCUGACGACUCUCUUGCCAACCAAGAGCUUAAAAGUUUAAGCUUUAGCAAGUUGAUCAGAGUAGAUAUGAUUUGCUGUUAUUGCCACUUUCCGUUGACAGCCCUUUAUAACGUGGAGUCUCUCCGUAUAGAAAUAGAUAAGAUGUAUCGCCCUCAUGAUGAGAUUCCCACCUUUCAUAAUUUGACAAACUUGAAGCUUCUCUCUCUAAAUUGUAAUUGGCCAUUGUUAAUACAAAUGCUCAAUCAUUGCCCAAAGCUUCAAAAACUUGACCUUAGCGAGGCCAACGUGGAUGGAGAUAGAGAUGGUGUCCAGGAAAAUUGGGUUGACCCAGAAUGUGUUCCGGAGUGCCUUUCAUUAAGCCUUAGAAGUUGCACUCUUUUAGAGUUCUUUGGCCGAGAAUCUGAGCUUCUGAUGGCAAAGUAUAUUUUGAAGAAUGCAAGUCUUUUGCAAACCAUGACAAUCACGGGACCUCAACAUCGUGAUUAUCUUCUUUCCCAAGGGCCUCAGCUACAUGUCAACUCUGAGUAUAUUGAAAGAGAAUUAUCCUCAUUCCCAAGGGCAUCCGCUACAUGUCAACUUUCGUUUUAUUGAGAAUUGGUAGGUUAUGAAACUUGUUGUUCAUCUAUUAUGCCUAUUGUUUUGUUAACUUCUACUAUGCAACUGAUUGGCUUGGUGGCUUAAACCGCGAACCUUGAUGGUCAUGCACUUUGUCUCGGUGCACUAGUUAAGGAAAGUUGAUCUGUUAAACUUGUUUAUUUUACUCUUUUAUGAAUCCAAUUAGCUAGAUCCAUUUGUUUGGAAUUUGUAUGUUAAGCUUUGAUUUGAUGCAUAACCUCAUGGUUUAUAAGGGGUUGUUCACUAGGCAGAUAUGCUGUCAAAAUUCUACUGCUUUGCAAAAUGCUCGUGUUGCAUGACUUGUGAUUGGGUAGAAAACUGCUAUAUGCAUUAAAUUGAGUUCUAUCGUAGAUAAAAUGAGGGAAGACCACGCCGCCGCAAGAUGAGAUAUGGCCAAGGUAUUGACUUCUCGCUGGGAGAUUAUGGCCCAGGAAGUUGCUAGAGUACUGCUUUACAGUUGGAAUUAGUUGGUUUUGCUCAUGAUUGAAUUUUCUCUACUUUCUGCAUUAAUAAACAAGACGACGGAGGUGUUUAGUGUUUACCAUGAGUUCCAUGAAUGGCCGAACUUUUGUGCAGCAGCCAGGCUAAAGCUUAUGUGAUUGAAUUUUUUUUACACUCUGCAUUGAUAAACAUGACUACCAUGGUGUUUAGUGUUUACCAUGAGUUCUAUGGCUGAACUUUUACUAUUGUUCUUGAGAUAUCAAAAAGAAAAAGAUUAGAAUUUCUACUUGGUUUUUUA